UGUUUAAGUUCUGUUGUGAAUUAGUUAAGUUUAUUAAGUUAGCUGAAGAUGGUUAUGUUAUGUAUUUCCCUCUUGUGUCCAAAUGUUCUGAUCAGCCAGUGUAUAUAGUGUCCCUUGUGUGUCAGUUUGUUAGGUCAUUUAG